CGCGUAGGCGGCGGACCAAGUCGAGUGUGAAAGCCCCGGGCUCAACCUGGGAGGUGCGCUCGAGACUGGGCCGCUGGAGUUCGGGAGAGGAGAGUGGAAUUCCCGAGUGUAGAGGUGAAAUUCGUAGAUAUUGGGAAGAACACCGGUGGCGAAGGCGGCUCUCUGGACCGAGACUGACGCUGAGGCGCGAAAGCGUGGGGAGCAAACAGGAUUAGAUACCCUGGUAAGUCCACGCUGUAAACGAUGUGUGCUAGGACGUUGGGGAGCGCAGCUCUUCGGUGUCGCAGCAAACGCUUUAAGCACACCGCCUGGGGAGUACGGGCCGCAAGGUUAAA
rnacentral:rRNA from 1 species